rnacentral:misc_RNA from 1 species
AAGUCGUAACAAGGUUUCCGUAGGUGAACCUGCGGAAGGAUCAUUACCUAUCAUCCAGUGUGGUCGCGGCCUCCGGGUUCUUCCCGGGCGGUAGAGGUAACACUCUCACGCGCCACGCGUUUGAAUCCUUUUUCUACGAGCACCUUUCGUUCUCCUUCGGUGGGGCAACCUGCCGUUGGAAUCAUACAAAAACCUUUUUUGCAUCUAGCAUUACCUGUUCCGAUAACAAACAAUCGUUACAACUUUCAACAAUGGAUCUCUUGGCUCUG